rnacentral:rRNA from 1 species
CGCGUAGGCGGUUUGUAAGUCGGAUGUGAAAGCCCUGGGCUUAACCUGGGAAUUGCAUUCGAUACUGCAUAACUAGAGUACGGUAGAGGGAAGUGGAAUUCCGGGUGUAGCGGUGAAAUGCGUAGAUAUCCGGAGGAACACCAGUGGCGAAGGCGACUUCCUGGGCCAGUACUGACGCUGAGGUGCGAAAGCGUGGGGAGCAAACA